rnacentral:rRNA from 1 species
CUGCACGAAGCCGGAAUCGCUAGUAAUCGCAGAUCAGCAUGCUGCGGUGAAUACGUUCCCGGGUCUUGUACACACCGCCCGUCACACCAUGGGAGCCGGGAAUGCCCGAAGUCAGCGGCCCAACCGAAAGGAGGGAGCUGCCGAAGGCAGGCCUGGUGACUGGGGUGAAGUCGUAACAAGGUAUC